rnacentral:misc_RNA from 1 species
CUCCAGCUCGCCUCUUCAAUCGUCGGCACGAGCGCUCUCUUGCCUCGGCCGGUGUUGGUUUCCCGUGCUGGAUACCUCUUGCGAAGGGCAUUGCAUUCGGCUAAGCUGUCCCGAUUCCGUCCCGCGUCCGCGUGCCUCACGGCGCACGAGACGCGGACGGACCUCAGAGCAUCCUCCGUGGCGUCCCGAUCCGUGCGCUCCCGAAUGGGUUCCCGGUUCGACGAUCCAUGGCGGCCUGCUCGAUCUCUCGGAUGCAGAACACCCGUGGGUAUGAGGCGACGUCCUCCUAAUGUCCCGAAAAAAAAGCUUCUUGCGAACGACGGUCGCCACGGUCUCGGUCCCCUGCCCCCGUGGCAUCGGUCGUGCCGGGGCGACGUCGGUGAGGAAUGCUAC